AAUAGAUACCCAGGUAGUCCACGCCGUAAACGUUGGAUACUAGGUGUGGCGGUUAUACCAAUGACUGCCGUGCCGAAGCUAACGCAUUAAGUAUCCCGCCUGGGGAGUACGGCCGCAAGGCUAAAACUCAAAGGAAUUGACGGGUCCCCGCACAAGCGGCGGAGCAUGCGGCUUAAUUCGAUGCAACCCGAAGAACCUUACCUGGGUUUGACAUCACGGGAAAAGCUGUAGAAAUACAGUGUCCAUUAGGGCCCGUGACAGGUGGUGCAUGGCUGUCGUCAGCUCGUGUCGUGAGAUGUUGGGUUAAGUCCCGCAACGAGCGCAACCCUUGUCCUAUGUUGCCAGCGGUUCGGCCGGGGACUCAUAGGAGACUGCCGGGGAUAACUCGGAGGAAGGUGAGGACGACGUCAAGUCAUCAUGCCCCUUAUAUCCCAGGGCUGCACGCAUGCUACAAUGGCCGGUACAACGGGCAGCGACCCCGCGAGGGUGAGCGAAUCCUAAAAAGCCGGUCCUAGUUCGGAUUGAAGUCUGCAACUCGACUU
rnacentral:rRNA from 1 species